rnacentral:rRNA from 1 species
GUGGACGCCAGUCUGCAUGGAGCCGACCUUGAAAUACCACCCUUUAAUGUUUGAUGUUCUAACGUGGACCCGUAAUCCGGGUUGCGGACAGUGUCUGGUGGGUAGUUUGACUGGGGCGGUCUCCUCCUAAAGAGUAACGGAGGAGCACGAAGGUUGGCUAAUCCUGGUCGGACAUCAGGAGGUUAGUGCAAUGGCAUAAGCCAGCUUGACUGCGAGCGUGACGGCGCGAGCAGGUGCGAAAGCAGGUCAUAGUGAUCCGGUGGUUCUGAAUGGAAGGGCCAUCGCUCAACGGAUAAAAGGUACUCCGGGGAUAACAGGCUGAUACCGCCCAAGAGUUCAUAUCGACGGCGGUGUUUGGCACCUCGAUGUCGGCUCAUCACAUCCUGGGGCUGAAGUAGGUCCCAAGGGUAUGGCUGUUCGCCAUUUAAAGUGGUACGCGAGCUGGGUUUAGAACGUCGUGAGACAGUUCGGUCCCUAUCUGCCGUGGGCGCUGGAGAACUGAGGGGGGCUGCUCCUAGUACGAGAGGACCGGAGUGGACGCAUCACUGGUGUUCGGGUUGUCAUGCCAAUGGCACUGCCCG